ACCCUUUACUGGUGACAUGACAACAGCUGCAAGAAUCCGUGUUGCUGCGAAUGAGAAGGCUGAAGCAGAGAAAAUACUGCAGAUCAAGAAAGCUGAAGGAGAAGCUGAAUCCAAGUACUUGUCAGGGCUUGGCGUUGCUCGACAGCGUCAAGCCAUUGUGGAUGGUCUUCGAGACAGUGUGCUUGCUUUCUCAGAAAAUGUACCUUGAACAUCAGCAAGA
rnacentral:misc_RNA from 1 species